UUGGGCACUGCACUGGUCAUCUACUCCUCCCAUCUCUUCCUAUAGAUGUGUGUGUUUAGUUUCUAUAGAUUGGAUUCAAAUCUCAAGUUCUUAGUCAGAUGGCUAUGACCACACACUUAAAACUGCAGUUUUCCCUUGAUGUCUAAUACUUCUUCCUGCUGUGACUUUUCUCUAGCCCUUGUUGUAUCCAGCUCACCACAGGCUACUUGCUUCUAUUUUCCUGUGCCUCAUUGCUAGAAGGAAGAAGAUGGAGAAGCACGAGUUUCAAGAUCUUGUGGUUGAUUUGCAGCAAGCCUAAAGUGACACUAACAUUUUUCAAGUUGUCCCAUGUCCUCAAAAACUCCAGAACUGAGUUUCAAAACACUGUCACCCACAGUGCCCACCCUGGUUUCUGGGAGUAGCUUUACUCGUAGUUGAACACAAGGCUCUCUCAUGUGAACUGAUUUAAACUCUGACCUAUGGCUGCUAUGGGUAGACAGGAAAACCAUAUGUCACAGUGAUACAAACAAAGCACACUAUGCUCUGCAUUCCUUUACUCUGAAAUGACAAUGGCACUGUGUGAACUGAGAAAGACUUGGUGUCUGUCAACUGCUUGACAUCUUUAGGAAAACAAUCGCCUAUCUGGAGUGACCAUUCCCACCUGCCUUCUUGCUAUUUCCAAUAAUAAUUGUCGCCACUGCAGAGACCACUGUUGUGAAUUGCUUCAGAUCUAUGUUUCCACGAUAAUGCUGUGAUCCUGCACCCAGGAAAGCACAGCUGGCAUUUGCUUCUAUUUCUGCUAGCUCCCAGGCUUGGAAACCACAACAUCCUCAGGGAAAUUUUGCCACUAUGCAGAGGAAUUCACCCCCUUUGUGAUGCUGGAUGCUGCUGAACUGUAUCUCCACUUUAAAAGCAUCAGUACAUGUCUGGAAGGCCUGAAGGGAUCCUCAGGUUUGGGAAAUGAUUCACGUAAUGGACCGGUUUCCGGCUCCCUCCCUGCUACCACCUUGAAGGAACUUGUAAAUCUGUCUCCUGUGGAUGCCUGUGUGUUCAAAAUGGCAGCUUUGCACAAAAUCCCACAAGCUAAAUUCUUGAAUAAAAUGAGAAGUAUGGAACUAUG
rnacentral:lncRNA from 1 species